GGAGGGAUGGCCGAGCGGUCGAAGGCGCACGCCUGGAAAGUGUGUAUACCCCUAAAGGGUAUCGUGGGUUCGAAUCCCACUCCCUCCGCCA
rnacentral:tRNA from 1 species